GCCAAAGAUCUAGCCCACUCUUAUACCCCAUAAACCCCACUAACUUUAUUUAACUAGACUAAAACAUUUUAACACCUUAGUAAAGGAGAUUGAAAAACUAACUGGAGCUAUAGAAAUAGUACCGCAAGGGAAAAAUGAAAUAAAAAUGAAAUAAACCUCAAGCACAAAAAAGUAGAGACUUCCCCUCGUACCUUUUGCAUCAUGGUUUAACUAGUCCAACCAAGCAAAAAGCAUUGUAGUUUGACCCCCCGAAACUAAGCGAGCUACUUUAGGGCAGCUUCAUGAGCAAACCCGUCUCUGUUGCAAAAGAGUGGGAUGACCCUUAAGUAGAGGUGAUAGACCUAACGAGCUUAGUGAUAGCUGGUUUCUCAAAAAAAGGAUUUUAGUCCAACCUAAAGCUUUUUUCUUAUUAAUAAAAAUCUAUAUUAAACUUUAGAGCAAUUCAAAUAAGGUACAGCCUAUUUGAAACAGGAUACAACCUCAACUGCCGGGUAAUAGAUUAUUUUAUUUAACCAAGUGGGCCCAAAAGCAGCCACCUUUUAAAAAGCGUCACAGCUUAAUUGAAAAUUUUCCCAACCAAUUUCUUAAAAUACCUCCAACCCCCUAUUAUUAUUGAGUGAUUCCAUAAACUUAUUGAACCCAUUAUGUUAAAACUAGUAACAAGAAGCUCAACCUUCUCUUAGGUGUAAGCAUAAAUCAGUAAAGGAUAACCCACUGAUAAUUAACGCCCAUGAACUAAUAUUAACAACUUUCCAAGAAAACACUAAUAUUACUGACGUUAACCUAACACAAGAGCACCCCAAGAAAGAUUUAAAGAAAAAGAAGGAACUCGGCAAAUAUUAACCUCGCCUGUUUACCAAAAACAUCGCCUCUUGAAUAAAAAUAAGAGGUCCAGCCUGCCCAGUGACCCUAGUUCAACGGCCGCGGUAUCCUGACCGUGCAAAGGUAGCGUAAUCACUUGUUCUUUAAAUGAGGACUAGUAUGAAUGGCAUCACGAGGGUUAUACUGUCUCCUCUUUCUAAUCAGUGAAACUAAUCUCCCCGUGAAAAAGCGGGAAUAGACUUAUAAGACGAGAAGACCCUAUGGAGCUUUAAAUUUUAUUUCAAUUGCUUUAACACAUAACAUGUCCCGACCCUCUUAUUAAACCUAGCAUAAUGAAAAUAAAUUUUAGGCUGGGGCGGCCGCGGAGCACAAAAUAACCUCCACAUUGAAUAAACCUCAAUUUUUGAACUAAGAGCCACGACUCUAAGUACUAACAUAUUAACAUCCAUUGACCCAAUAUAUUGAUCAACGAACCAAGUUACCCUAGGGAUAACAGCGCAAUCUACUUUGAAAGUUCCUAUCGACAAGUGGGUUUACGACCUCGAUGUUGGAUCAGGGUACCCCAGUGGUGCAGCCGCUACUAAAGGUUCGUUUGUUCAACGAUUAAAACCCU
rnacentral:rRNA from 1 species